ACAGGCUAGUUAUAACAUAGCUAGUACAUAGUGACAUAACUCAAUACUUGCAUACAUUCUGCACCUGUGAUGCUCCCAUGGCAACUUAGACUUUCCAUUUUGAUAUUAGGGCUAACCAUCAUUGCUCAAACUCUUCUCUAUGAAUUUGUUUAAUGUUUUUUCAAAGCUAUCUCAGCUCUAACUACCCAUUACACCCCCAAAACACAGUUGCUUUGUUAAGGAAAAACAGUUUCAGAACAAAGUGAUUUUCAGCAGAGAAGCAGCAUGGCGAGGGGCUGGGAUGUUGUGUUUUGUCUCUUUAAGAACCAUACCCAGAAGACUUCGAAUAAGGAAGACCAUUUGAGGGAGUGGGAGCAGUUACAAUUUUGCAGCAAAGGUCUGGAUCAUAAUCUGAUGUGGUAAACCUGUGUCUGGGAUGAAGACUGCAAGUGGGGGUAGAGUUGACCGAUGACUGGAGCUAUCCCUGGAAGUUUCCCUCCAAUUUUUGUUCCAAUACUAUUUUCAAAAUAUCAAAGCAUUAACAUCUUCAGAAUAGCUUUCAAUAGUCACCUGGAGAUUGGUGCCAAUUCCUGGAGACUUCAGGCCAAUCCUGGAGGGCUGGCAGUCCUCAGUAGAACACUCCUACAAACAAAUAUCCUUCCACAUAGAGAACUAGGCCUUAGUCAAAUAGAAAUAUAAAGAAAACAGAAUAAACAAACCAUCCCUACAAAUAACUUCAUAGGUUAGUUUAACAUUUUCAGCAACUUUCAAAACCUUAACUAACCACUGUAUAAUUGUUGGAGUAAAUGCUUCCCCCCUCCCCACAAUAAUGAGCCCAGAUAAUUUUUAUAGUAUUAAACGCAUAGUACCUUGCUGGUCAUCCUCAGAAAUAUUCAAAAGUAAAGUUAAAGGUUUAAUCUUCCCUUUGUUACUUGGAAAGUAACAAAUCUACAUAGUAAAAAUAGUUUGCUGAACUUGUAACAGAUUAUCCUUGAGUGAUCCUAGGUAUUCACACCACUGGAGAUACGCACAUGCGCAGUAGUCCAAUCGGGAAGAUUCCACAAGCUUUGCACAGCGCUCCCAACUCCACCCAUGGCGCGCAUGCAUCCGUCGACACAGGCAGUCAGAACGCUGCUCUCCUCAGUUCCUGGACAACCGCCAGUUGUCAGCGACCAUUGUAAGUGGAACUGGAGAGGUAUGUGAGAGAACAGGUAAGUAAAACAUAGACGUUGCCCAGAGCACAACCUCCAAGAAAGAGGGGAGACUGGGUGGGAUGUGUGAAUACCUAGGAUCACUCAAGGACAAUCUGUUACAGGUAAGCAACCUGUUUAUCCUUGACAUGAUCCCAGUGUAUUCACACCACUGGGCAAUUAGCAAUCUCCUACAGGAGGAAGGUUUCUUGGACUUACCUUAUGCGCUGUUAGGAUAGAACUUGCUUCAAGACACUCCUCCCAAAACAUGCAUCCUUGAAGGACUGCAGGUCCAGCGCAUCAUGUUUAAUGAAGGGAUGAUCUGAAGAACAAGUCGCAGCUCCGAAUCUCAGUUGUGGAGACGCCUGAUAGAUUGGCUGCUGAGGAUGCUACUGCUCUUGUAGAGUAGGCCUUAACACCCUUAGGUGGGUCUUUGCCUUGAGACUUGUAUGCCUAACUAUGGCCUGGACAAUGCAAUGUGACAAACCUUGGUGAGUGAUUCGCAUGCCUUUCUUGUCCUUUCUAUAGGAAACAAAAAGUCUAUGAUCUUUACGAAAAUGACGAGUCCUAUCUGAAUAGAAGGCCAAUGCUUGGCCAACAUCCAUGUGUACAGAUUGCUCUAAGUCAGACUGUGGGUUACAGUCUGUGGUUGAUGUGAAAACUUGUGUUUACUUUAAGAUUAAAAGAUAAGUUCAUA